UGGAAGGAAGUCAGCCUGGCCUUCCUCACAGCAAGGAAGAGGAAAGAAGCCACCUUCUCCAAAGGCUGCCAACCUAUGGACUGGGCCAAGUUCCAGAGGUGCAGGGAAGAGGAGAUAUUGAGAAACCCCUGCAGGCAGCUCGCCCCAGGAUCAUCCGCAGGCCUCUGACAACGGAUGCAAGCACAUUGUAAAAGGAAACCCACAGCACCAAGGGCCCCAUUCUCGCAACCCAUCCUGUCACUCUGAGAAACUGUCAAGCGCUCUUCAUUUUUCCCUUCUCCAGCCUCCUCUCUGCUGCAACCAGUCCUUGACCAGCAUCAUGAGUCCCCGGGGGCUGAAGACAAGGCCAAGAGUCAUUAUCAGUGGCUUAGGAACUAUGAGGCCUCCAAGAAAACAUCUAUAGUAAGAAGCACUUCCUCUACAGAAGAAAGCAGUGUGAGCCAAGGAAAAAAAGCAGCCCUGAACCCAAAAAUGGGUUCUGCAGACACGUUAGGAGAAGGUGCUAGAAAGGCCUUAGGUACUCUGUGCUCUGGUUACCGUGCUCUGCAGGGAUGGCAGCUCCAACACAUAUAGUUUCCCAAGUGCCAUCAGUGUCCCAGCUGCAUGUCCAACACUGGCCCACCCAGGACAUUCCAGUGAGCCCUCAUCACAGGCAAGAGGCCAGACUGUGGCCACUAAGGGGGCUGGGCCACCCUCCAGCCAUUUGGGACAUUCACUGUGUUCAUCUGAGAAAAAAGACUGCUAUGAGCCAAGGUCACACAGGCCAGGGAGGAGGUGCUCUGCUUGACCCCAGUGGCCACAGGUACUCAGCUCUGACCUGGAGGUCUCUGAGGAAGAUGUACCACUGCCUGUGAGACCUUCCCACUCAUUUCCUCUGGCCAAGACCUCCUCAUCCUUCAAGUCUCAGACACGGCUUCCUCUGGGAAGCUCCCCUGACCCUGAGGCUGAGACAGGAACUGCAGCGAGUUCAUCACACCGCCUGACCUCACCCCCACAUGCUCAGCACACUAAGUCCCAGGUGCCCGCUUCCUCAUUCCCAGCAGAAGGCGCAGAGUUUGCAGACUUUGACACUUUGUCUGUAGGUGGCUCGUGGGAUGCUCAUUUAAGGCGGCAACCAAGGUGAAUUAGAGCAAGCCCAGACAGAGGUGCUGCUCACAGCCAGGUGUCCAGCCUAGGCCCCUGCCUGGUCCUGAGGCUAAUCUCCAUUCCAGAAGCAAAGCAGAGCUCCCUAGGAGGCUGAGAAGACAUGAAAAGGCCCAGCCUCGGACCACACCCCACUUCACAGCCCAGGCCCUUUCCAACAGAGCUGAAUACAAUCUUUCUCCAAUGACUGGGCCAUGAGCCACUACACCUAGGCCACCUGUAAAAGUAUCAACUUCCCACCCCUGCCAGACCAUGGCCAAGAACAAGAGCCUUGAGAUCUGUUUACCUUAUGCCCUGACAUGGCUGGGCUGGAACACAAAACACCAAGGCUGGGACAUGCCUAUAAUCCCAGCUACUCAGGAGGCUGAGGCAUGUGGAUCAAAAGUUGGAGGCCAGCCUGGGCAAUUUAUUGAGACCCUGUCUCAAAAUUUUAAAAAAGUCUGGGGAUGUAGCUAAGUGGUAGAAAGCUUGCUCAGCAAAGGGAGGG
rnacentral:lncRNA from 1 species